GCCCGCGUGGCGCAAUGGCUUAGCGCGCAGGACUUCUAUUAUUAACAUAGAUUUCUAUGGCUAGCAAUAGAGCUAUCCUGAGGUUGUGGGUUCGAGUCCCAUCGCGGGUG